rnacentral:misc_RNA from 1 species
GAUGAAGAACGCAGCGAAAUGCGAUACGUAAUGUGAAUUGCAGAAUUCAGUGAAUCAUCGAAUCUUUGAACGCAUAUUGCGCUCUCUGGUAUUCCGGAGAGCAUGCUUGUUUGAGUAUCAGUAAACACCUCAACUUCCAUAUCUUUUUUGAAAUGGGAGUUGGACUUGAGUGAUCCCAACGCUUUUCCUCACCGAAAAGUGGCGGGUUACUUGAAAUGCAGGUGCAGCUGGACUUUUCUCUGAGCUAUAAGCAUAUCUAUUUAGUCUGCCUAAAAAACAGAUUAUUACCUUUGCUGCAGCUAACAUAAAGGAGAUUAGUUCUUGUGCUGACUGAUGCAGGAUUCACAAAGACGGCUUCGGCCGACUUUGUAAACUCGAUCUCAAAUCAAGUAAGACUACCCGCUGAACUUAAGAAUAUCAAUAAGCGGAGGA